UAGGGAAUAUUGGGCAAUGGAGGGAACUCUGACCCAGCCAUGCCGCGUGCAGGAUGAAGGCGUUAUGCGUUGUAAACUGCUUUUAUAUAGGAAGAAAUAGUCCUUGCGAGGAAAGUUGACGGUACUAUAUGAAUAAGCACCGGCUAACUCCGUGCCAGCAGCCGCGGUAAUACGGAGGGUGCAAGCGUUGUCCGGAUUUAUUGGGUUUAAAGGGUGCGUAGGCGGUUUAUUAAGUCAGUGGUGAAAGACGGUCGCUCAACGAUUGCAGUGCCAUUGAUACUGGUAGACUUGAGUAUGAUUGAGGUAGCUGGAAUGGAUAGUGUAGCGGUGAAAUGCAUAGAUAUUAUCCAGAACACCAAUUGCGUAGGCAAGUUACUAAGUCAUAACUGACGCUGAGGCAC
rnacentral:rRNA from 1 species